CUGGAAGACAGACACUCCUAUUUGGAUUGAUCAAUGGCCCCUACCACUGGAAAAACUUCACGCCCUCCAAGAAAUAGUUAACGAACAACUAUCUAUGGGACAUAUUGUACCCUCAACGAGUCCGUGGAACUCGCCUAUCUUUGUUAUUAAAAAACUGACUGGCAAGUGGCGCCUGCUCCAUGACCUCAGAAAAAUUAAUGACGCUAUGGAAGAUAUGGGGGCCCUGCAGCCUGGGCUUCCAUCCCCUACCAUGAUCCCUCGAGAUUGGCAUUUAACUAUCAUAGACCUCAAAGAUUGUUUUUUCAAUAUUUCAUUGCAUCCAGAUGAUGCCCCUAAAUUUGCCUUUUCUGUGCCAAGCGUCAACAUGCAAGCUCCUUUGCAAAGAUACCAGUGGGUUGUGCUACCGCAGGGAAUGAAAAAUAGCCCUACAAUAUGCCAAUGGUAUGUAGCAAAGAUACUUAGUCCUGUUAGAACUGCAGUGCCUGCUGCACUGUUAUAUCAUUAUAUGGAUGACAUUCUAGUGGCAGCACAGCACCAUGAAGUCAUGGAGGAAGCUGUAGCCCUUGUCGUGGCUGCUGUAAAAUCAGCAGACCUCUGUAUUGCACCAGAAAAAAUUCAAAGAAUGCCACCUUGGAAAUACUUAGGAUGGCGUAUAAGGGCUCAGACUGUUACCCCGCAACCCUUACAGAUACAGGCAAAUGUAAAGAACUUACAUGAUGUACAAAAACUGCUGGGUACAAUCAAUUGGGUCAGACCAUUGUUAGGAAUCAGUAAUGCGGACCUUCGUCCCUUAUUCGAAAUGCUUAAAGGAAGCUCGGAUUUAAACGCUCCGCGAACUCUUAGUCCUGAAGCCAUAGCUUCCUUGCAUAAAGCUGCAACAGCAAUUGCCUCCAGACAAGCGCAUCGAUGGGAACCAGAAUUGCCUUUUCAAUUAAUCAUCCUUAAUCCUGCUAGACAGCCUUAUGCGCUCAUUUUUCAAUGGGACUGCCAGAAAACUGACCCUUUACUAAUCAUUGAAUGGAUUUUUCUGCCUAACCAAGCCACAAAGACGAUUUCUACCCAACAUGAGAUGUUUGCAUCUUUAAUCAUCAGGGCCAGACAGCGAUUACUUACCCUGGCGGGCACGGACUUUGCCCUCAUAUGUAUGCCAGUAACAACUGUUUACCUGCAAUGGCUACAACAACAAUCAGAUGCACUAGGUAUAGCCCUGACUGGCUAUGCAGGCCAACUCACUUCUCAUCCGCCUUCUCACAAGCUGUUAAGCAUUGAUUUUCGCCUUUUACCUGUUCCAAAGCGGAGUGACCAGCCUUUACAAGCCCUCACUGUAUUCACAGAUGGGUCUGGCAAAUCUCACAAGUCUGUUAUCCUUUGGUGGGAUGACCAGCGGGAACAGUGGGGCUCAGAUGUUCAGAUUGUGCAGGGUUCUCCUCAAAUAGUAGAAUUAUCUGCAGUUGUUCGAGUGUUUCGAAAAUGGUCUAUUCCUCUCAAUAUAAUCACUGAUUCUGCUUAUGUUGCAGGAAUUGUUAGCCGAGCAGAAGCUUCUGUGCUACGGGAUAUUUCUCAUGCGGCACUGUUCAAUCUGUUACAAGAACUCAUUUUCCUGUUAGAUUCCCGCCUUCACCCUUAUUUUAUUAUGCAUGUCCGAUCUCACACUUCUCUACCUGGUUUUAUUGCAGAAGGGAACCGACAAGCGGAUUUGCUUACGCUACCGGUGCAGGUGUUACCAGAUCGAUUAGCGCAAGCUCGACUCAGCCACUCCUUUUUUCAUCAAAAUGCUGCAGGCCUUAAGCGUCAAUUUGACCUCACUAUACAACAAGCUCAUAAUAUCAUUGCGGUGUGUCCUGAUUGUCAACGGCACUCUUUCCCUUCUAUAGCAGAAGGAGUCAACCCCAGAGGGCUACAAAGCCUUCAACUCUGGCAAACAGAUGUCACUCAUUUUGCUGAAUUUGGUCGUCUAAAGUUUGUUCAUUGCUCUAUUGAUACAUUUUCCGGAAUGUUAUUUGCCUCCUGUCAUAUAGGAGAAAAAGCACGCGAUGUGCGAAAACAUCUGAUGCGCGCCUUUGCUACUUUGGGGGUACCCUCUCAAAUCAAAACUGAUAAUGGCCCUGCAUAUGUAUCUAAAACCUUGACGACCUUUUUUGCCUCUUGGGGUAUAUCACACAUUACAGGUAUCCCUCAUUCUCCUACGGGACAAGCUUUGAUAGAACGAUCUCACCAAACCUUAAAACGUUUGUUAUUAAAACAAAAAGGGGGAAUAGGUAUAGGGGCUGCUACACCAGAGGAGCGCUUACAGAAAGCCUUGUAUGUUUUUAAUUUUUUGAAUUGUUCCCUGUUAGACAGCAAUCCUCCAGUAGUUCGUCAUUUUAGCACAAACACCCUUUUUGAACCCAAGAUUAAGCCGCCAGUAUUGAUCCGGGACCCCGAAACAGGUAAAGUGAUGGGACCCUAUCCCCUUGUUACAUGGGGUAGAGGUUAUGCUUGUGUUUCCACAGAGAGAGGUCCUCGCUGGAUCCCGGCAAAGAACGUGAGACCCUUCCGAGAAACAUUGCAACGGCAGUCUUCUGAUAACGCUCCAGAACCUGCGUUCGAUGAGGAGAACGUUGCUCCCGAAUGAAUUCCGUCUCAGAAACAGAUAAGCGAGAGUUUCAAUGUCCAGACUGCGAAGUGUGCAAUUUCUGGAUCCUUAGAAUUUGUGCUGACUGCGAAAGACCACAGUGGGUAAAUAGGUGCCGCGUAAGACGGUGGUGUGACUAUUGUUUGCAGGAUUACCAAGGGCUCUUACAGAGGCUGUCAGUGGAAACUGGAAUUGAGGGCGAUAGAACUCGCUCCUAUCAGGAAAAAUUAGAAAAAUGGCAUAGAUAUAUUUUUGAGCAAUCAAAUAUUGUCCUUUGGAAAGCCAUUGAAUGUGAUAAAUCUGUUCCAGUACCACAGACUUUUGUCUGUCCCUGGCGCAAGUAAGCGAUCCGUUUAGAACAUGUUUAAUUGGGUAUCCAUAUGUACACCUAGACGAUUUUCGAGGUUACGUUAACACCCCUGAUUUGUCGAAUGUACUCAAUUCCUCAUAUUGGCAAUGGAGGAGAAAUAACAGUGACGGAUGGUGUAUAAAAAGUAGCGACUGGCCAGUAGAGCAGGGAGCCAUGCUCCAGCAAGGCUUAAUUCAAAGGCUCAAUUUCUCUAAUCACUUACCGUUUCAGGAACUGACACUUUGGGGCUCCUUCCCUCCACAGGGGGAAUGGGAGAACAUCUCAAAUCGCGAAAAUUGCUCUAAUAUGAGUCCGGAGAUUCUUCCUGUUAACGGGACUGGAGUGGUCUAUUUUGGUGAUAGCUGGACUGGGUAUUUGAUUCGAGAUGGUCACAAAGAGACAUUAGAUUCACUGAUUCAUUAUCAAAACGUGUCAGGUAACUCUGGUCAUUGGAACAUUUCGAUGAAUACAGGGACUAGAGAUGUGGCCGAUAUCACUGGACAGUGCUUACAAAAGUCGAUAACCGCUUCAGUAAAUAAGAUUUUUCUUGUACAAGCACAAGACCUCCCGAAAACUCCCAAUACAGAAAUGUUGGUGAAGCAAGACGUCCUCGAACUGGUUGGGCGCCGACCUUGGGAAGAAGCAUAUGUUUGAAAACAAAAAGGGGGAGAUGUGGGUUAUCUUGGCUGUAUUUAUAGGCAAUGUGCUGAUUUUAGUUAUUGGACCUGCUGUGUUAGCAUGGGAAGUUACUGGGGGGUUGUGGAAAAUUACAGCCGAUGGGUGUAAGAACAAAGCACAGGAACUGGUGGUUUGGCAACAGUAUCUUGUUAUAGUCGCGCGAAGCUUUCCUAACACGAAAGGCAUGUAGUUACAAGGACCUAAGAUAAGAUAUGCAUGCUUUCUUACUAACCUAUCAUGAGCUCAGCUUUUGUAAUAUGUAUGAGCUAAUUAGUUGGUAUACCAAUCAGUAUAAUCCACGAUAGUAGUUGUAAUGUAUGUAACAGUAUAAAAAGAUUGUGUAGAGAACAAUAAAGUGGAUACUUUGCUUGCA